CCUACGGGCGGCUGCAGUGGGGAAUCAUUCACAAUGGGCGAAAGCCUGAUGGUGCGACGCCGCGUGAGGGAUGAAGGCCUUCGGGUUGUAAACCUCUGUCACUGGGGAAGAAACGCUUCAAGUUAACAGCUUGAAGCCUGACUUAACCCAGAGAGGAAGCAGUGGCUAACUCUGUGCCAGCAGCCGCGGUAAUACAGAGACUGCAAGCGUUAUUCGGAUUCACUGGGCGUAAAGGGUGCGCAGGCGGCCGUGUGUGUUAGGUGUGAAAGCCCGAGGCUUAACCUCGGAAUUGCGCCUAAAACUACACGGCUAGAGCAUUGGAGAGGGUAGCAGAAUUCAUGGUGUAGCAGUGAAAUGCGUAGAUAUCAUGAGGAAUACCAGAGGCGAAGGCGGCUACCUGGACAAUUGCUGACGCUCAGGCACGAAAGCGUGGGGAGCAAACGGGAUUAGAUACCCCGGUAGUC
rnacentral:rRNA from 1 species